rnacentral:rRNA from 2 species
UUAAGCGACUAAGCGUACACGGUGGAUGCCCUGGCAGUCAGAGGCGAUGAAGGACGUGCUAAUCUGCGAAAAGCGUCGGUAAGGUGAUAUGAACCGUUAUAGCCGGCGAUGUCCGAAUGGGGAAACCCAGUGCAAUUCGUUGCACUAUCGUUAACUGAAUACAUAGGUUAACGAGGCGAACCGGGGGAACUGAAACAUCUAAGUACCCCGAGGAAAAGAAAUCAACCGAGAUUCCCCCAGUAGCGGCGAGCGAACGGGGAGCAGCCCAGAGUCUGAAUCAGCUUGUGUGUUAGUGGAACGGUCUGGAAAGUCCGACGGUACAGGGUGAUAGUCCCGUACACCAAAAUGCACAGGUUGUGAACUCGAAGAGUAGGGCGGGACACGUGGUAUCCUGUCUGAAUAUGGGGGGACCAUCCUCCAAGGCUAAAUACUCCUGACUGACCGAUAGUGAACCAGUACCGUGAGGGAAAGGCGAAAAGAACCCCGGCGAGGGGAGUGAAAAAGAACCUGAAACCGUGUACGUACAAGCAGUGGGAGCACCUUCGGGUGUGACUGCGUACCUUUUGUAUAAUGGGUCAGCGACUUAUAUUCUGUAGCAAGGUUAACCGUAUAGGGGAGCCGCAGGGAAACCGAGUCUUAACUGGGCGUUAAGUUGCAGGGUAUAGACCCGAAACCCGGUGAUCUAGCCAUGGGCAGGUUGAAGGUUGGGUAACACUAACUGGAGGACCGAACCGACUAAUGUUGAAAAAUUAGCGGAUGACUUGUGGCUGGGGGUGAAAGGCCAAUCAAACCGGGAGAUAGCUGGUUCUCCCCGAAAGCUAUUUAGGUAGCGCCUCGUGAACUCAUCUUCGGGGGUAGAGCACUGUUUCGGCUAGGGGGUCAUCCCGACUUACCAACCCGAUGCAAACUACGAAUACCGAAGAAUGUUAUCACGGGAGACACACGGCGGGUGCUAACGUCCGUCGUGAAGAGGGAAACAACCCAGACCGCCAGCUAAGGUCCCAAAGUCAUGGUUAAGUGGGAAACGAUGUGGGAAGGCACAGACAGCCAGGAUGUUGGCUUAGAAGCAGCCAUCAUUUAAAGAAAGCGUAAUAGCUCACUGGUCGAGUCGGCCUGCGCGGAAGAUGUAACGGGGCUAAACCAUGCACCGAAGCUGCGGCAGCGACACUAUGUGUUGUUGGGUAGGGGAGCGUUCUGUAAGCCUGCGAAGGUGUGCUGUGAGGCAUGCUGGAGGUAUCAGAAGUGCGAAUGCUGACAUAAGUAACGAUAAAGCGGGUGAAAAGCCCGCUCGCCGGAAGACCAAGGGUUCCUGUCCAACGUUAAUCGGGGCAGGGUGAGUCGACCCCUAAGGCGAGGCCGAAAGGCGUAGUCGAUGGGAAACAGGUUAAUAUUCCUGUACUUGGUGUUACUGCGAAGGGGGGACGGAGAAGGCUAUGUUAGCCGGGCGACGGUUGUCCCGGUUUAAGCAUGUAGGCUGAUUGUCCAGGCAAAUCCGGAUAAUCAAGGCUGAGGUGUGAUGACGAGGCACUACGGUGCUGAAGUAACAAAUGCCCUGCUUCCAGGAAAAGCCUCUAAGCAUCAGGUAACAUUAAAUCGUACCCCAAACCGACACAGGUGGUCAGGUAGAGAAUACCAAGGCGCUUGAGAGAACUCGGGUGAAGGAACUAGGCAAAAUGGUGCCGUAACUUCGGGAGAAGGCACGCUGGUGUGUAGGUGAAGUCCCUGCGGAUGGAGCUGAGACCAGUCGAAGAUACCAGCUGGCUGCAACUGUUUAUUAAAAACACAGCACUGUGCAAACACGAAAGUGGACGUAUACGGUGUGACGCCUGCCCGGUGCCGGAAGGUUAAUUGAUGGGGUUAUCCGUAAGGAGAAGCUCUUGAUCGAAGCCCCGGUAAACGGCGGCCGUAACUAUAACGGUCCUAAGGUAGCGAAAUUCCUUGUCGGGUAAGUUCCGACCUGCACGAAUGGCGUAAUGAUGGCCAGGCUGUCUCCACCCGAGACUCAGUGAAAUUGAACUCGCUGUGAAGAUGCAGUGUACCCGCGGCAAGACGGAAAGACCCCGUGAACCUUUACUAUAGCUUGACACUGAACAUUGAGCCUUGAUGUGUAGGAUAGGUGGGAGGCUUUGAAGCGUGGACGCCAGUCUGCGUGGAGCCAACCUUGAAAUACCACCCUUUAAUGUUUGAUGUUCUAACGUUGGCCCCUGACCGGGGUUGCGGACAGUGUCUGGUGGGUAGUUUGACUGGGGCGGUCUCCUCCCAAAGCGUAACGGAGGAGCACGAAGGUUAGCUAAUCCUGGUCGGACAUCAGGAGGUUAGUGCAAUGGCAUAAGCUAGCUUGACUGCGAGCGUGACGGCGCGAGCAGGUGCGAAAGCAGGUCAUAGUGAUCCGGUGGUUCUGAAUGGAAGGGCCAUCGCUCAACGGAUAAAAGGUACUCCGGGGAUAACAGGCUGAUACCGCCCAAGAGUUCAUAUCGACGGCGGUGUUUGGCACCUCGAUGUCGGCUCAUCACAUCCUGGGGCUGAAGUAGGUCCCAAGGGUAUGGCUGUUCGCCAUUUAAAGUGGUACGCGAGCUGGGUUUAGAACGUCGUGAGACAGUUCGGUCCCUAUCUGCCGUGGGCGCUGGAGAAUUGAGGGGGGCUGCUCCUAGUACGAGAGGACCGGAGUGGACGCAUCACUGGUGUUCGGGUUGUCAUGCCAAUGGCACUGCCCGGUAGCUAAAUGCGGAAGAGAUAAGUGCUGAAAGCAUCUAAGCACGAAACUUGCCCCGAGAUGAGUUCUCCCUGAGACUUUAAGUCUCCUGAAGGAACGUUGAAGACGAUGACGUUGAUAGGCCGGGUGUGUAAGCGCAGCGAUGCGUUGAGCUAACCGGUACUAAUGAACCGUGAGGCUUAACCUU